rnacentral:rRNA from 1 species
GGGGAAUAUUGCACAAUGGGCGCAAGCCUGAUGCAGCCAUGCCGCGUGUAUGAAGAAGGCCUUCGGGUUGUAAAGUACUUUCAGUCGGGAGGAAGGUGUCAAGGUUAAUAACCUUGGCAAUUGACGUUACCGACAGAAGAAGCACCGGCUAACUCCGUGCCAGCAGCCGCGGUAAUACGGAGGGUGCAAGCGUUAAUCGGAAUUACUGGGCGUAAAGCGCACGCAGGCGGUUGAUUGAGUCAGAUGUGAAAUCCCCGGGCUUAACCCGGGAAUUGCAUCUGAUACUGGUCAGCUAGAGUCUUGUAGAGGGGGGUAGAAUUCCAUGUGUAGCGGUGAAAUGCGUAGAGAUGUGGAGGAAUACCGGUGGCGAAGGCGGCCCCCUGGACAAAGACUGACGCUCAGGUGCGAAAGCGUGGGGAGCAAAC